rnacentral:lncRNA from 1 species
AUGCAGUAUUUAAUGCUGCAAUGGUUACAGGAUGAGCAUAUGCUGCUCAGACAGACCAAGUAUCCAACCUGGGCCCAUCCUGAAUUUCUUAUGAUCUCAAAAUCCAAAUUCAUUAGCACUGCUCAAAAUCCUCUUUCACUUUCCUGCCUUGCUGUUUGUGAUGUGAACCACGAGAUGUUCAGAAGUUGCAUUUGUUGUUUGAUGGUUUUACAUGGGUGUAAUGGUGUAACAGUGCAUCUGCUGAGUCAACAGUUCUUUCUGUAUAUGUGUGUGUGUGUUUGUUUGUUUGUUUAUUUAAUACUCCAUUUCCAACAAGUCCUUGUUCCCCAGUUCCUGUUGACAACCAGGGAACAAGCACAAGUCAACGGAGAAAAUGUACAACUCGAAGGCUGGGGUCACAAGAUGGAUUUGGAGGAAGCAACUUUCUUGCAGAUAUGUGACUAGAAUAUGAAUACUGUCCCAAGGUAAGUGGAUUUUUGUUCAAUUUGGAUUUUAUACAACUUUUAAAGUCCAUACGACACUUGUUAAACCCAGCCUAGUUGUGAAACUGUGUCUAACCACUAUUUGUUCAAUCCCAUAAAGCAUGCCUGUGUACCAUAGCAACACCUGCUCAAUUGAUAUAUUAAAAUUAUUUUACCAGGUCAGCCCUUUGAGAGUUAGCAUUUCAUUCACAAAACAUUCUAUAACACACAUUGGUCGUGCUAUCUCUCUGCUUUCUGAUGAAUUGGG